CACAAACCUGAGAGGGCAGGAAGUCCACGCUGCCACCACGGGGUCACCACAGGGAGCCUGGUGGGGACACAGAGUAAAAAGAAUAGAAAAUAACCAAAUGUCAAGACUGCAACUGGGGUGGAGCCAAGCUGCUGCGGAUGUUGCCAAGGGCCCUUCCCGGGAGAGCCAGGUGGGGUACCCACAUGCCACCUUCUCCUCAGGUGGAGCCACCGCCUGUGGCCUCCUGUGGGGCCAGCCUGGACUGCAGCUGCCAGGACCUAGUGAUGGCCCCAAACCUGAGAGUGGGCCCAGAGUCCCACCCCGCUAACCAUGCUGAAAAAGGCCACAGGGCACAUGAAGCCUUUGCUCCCUGGAUCAGGUCACGCUCUCCAGUUUUCCUUCCAGGAGGACAGGCCAUGCACUAAAAAACAGCUGCAGAGGAAAGGCUGGACCAGGUGUGCUGGGAGUCACCAGGAGCAAGGUGGUGAAGAUGGAGUUUCCCUCUUGUUGCCCAGGCUGGACAGCGAUGCGCGAUCUCCAUUCACUGCAACCUCUGCCUCCUAGGUUCAAGCGAUUCUCCUGCCGCAGCCUCGCGAGUAGCUGGGAUUACUGGCCUGUGCCACCACGCCCGACUAAUUUUGUGUUUUUAGUAGAGACAGGGUUUCUCCAUGUUGGUCAGGCUUGUCUCAAACUCCCGACCUCAGAUGAUCUACCCACCUCGGCCUCCCAAAGUGCUGGGAUUACAGGGUUGACACACCGUGCCCGGCCUUUUUUUUUAAAAAAAAAAAAAAAAAAAAAAGAUACAGAAUCUCACUAUGUUGCCCAGGCUGGUCUUGAACUCCUGGCUUGAACAGUCGUCAUGCUGCCUCAGCCCUCACCCUCCUGGAUAGCUGGGACUGCAGGCACGCACCACCGUGCCAGCCAAGACUUGCUUUUAAGCCUUGUCAGGAGGGACCACAGGAGACUUUAGAGUAAGCUGAAUUGGGCUGCAUUACUGAGACAAUACUCAGAGUGUUCUACUCAGUGCCCGAUGAAUUAGAAGGUUUUCAACUGUGGUUGGUGGCCACAGGGGCUAUUCUCUGGCUGGUGGGAGCUCUAGGAAUGGUUCCCUCUAAUCUUUUUGGGUGAUUCUUUUUCUGGCCUCAUUUCUUUUCCUCACAUGCAUGUGCUGAUCAAUACUUUGCUGAAGACCCAAAGAUGACACUCUGCAGAGCCCAGAGUUCUCUCCGUGUGCAGCUUUCUUCUCUCCAGUAUUCUCUCCUGUGAGUUCUAGGUGCACAAGUGUCCCUGGGACCCCAGCCCCAUCCUUCUACACAGGGAUAUGGCUGUGCUCCACCUGUAUUCCAUGUCCCUGUUCCAUGGCCUGGAAAGUCUCUCCAGGCAGCAAGCUGGGGCAAUCACAGGACUCACCUCACUUGUUUCCUGUGCCACCUGUGCUCCAAUGUCUGAAAAUCGUUGGUUCGAACAUUUGGUCUGUUUUUUUACUUGUUUCAGAACCUUAGUUUUAGUGUGCAUUUCCUGGAAUUCCUGGAAUUGUGGAUGUUAGCUCUGAGCUUGGCUUUAAAAAUCAUCUAAUUGUAUACCUUCCAUUUGCCAGUGAAGAAACUGAGAUAGGAGAAGGGAUGGUGCCUGAGUCUGCGGCAGACCCUGAACUGGGCCACAUCUCCCAACUUGAGAUUGAAGUCGCUUUGAAAGCAGAGCACAUGAAUCCGGGCAACGUGACUUAAGAGCUGGCUGAUGUUCCAGGACAGCACAAAAGAACGGAACUUGUUUUCAUGCUAUGAUUCAUUGGGGGACAGAGCUGGGCCAGGAUCCUGGGACAGAAGGAGGAGGCGGGCCCAGGAAAGUCCACUUGGGGUAACACACAAUUUGUACAUAAAAAAGAAAUGUUCACCUCUUUGUAUGUACCGUAGUAAUUAUUUCACCUUCUUUUAUGAACUUGCACAUUUUCAGAGAGAGUUAAAUUAAGCAGAGUCUGAAAGUGGAGAAUUCUCACAUAGAUAAAAGAAUGGGGACCUGAAAUUGGGUCAUCAGGAAGUGUCUUGUGGCAAAAUACACUUAGUAUCGAACUGAAGGAAGAAAUAUUUCAAACAUUUUCUUUAAGGAAAACUUAAUGGAUGUGACUUAAUAUUGUCUAGACUGACCUAGCAGCACAAGGUGGUGCGUUCAAGGACUUUUCAUCUCAAUCCACAGGAAAAGGGUUCGAUUUAGAUGAGAAAGAGGGAGCGGGGCACAGCUAGACUGGAGAGGCAUCCUGUCCACGGAUUAGUCUUCACUCUUCAUGUGGGCAGUAGAAUGGUAAACGGGACCUUCUUAAAACAGCAGCUCCCAAACACUGGGAGGUUGAUGUGCUUCCUAAACCCUCACUGAUUCAUGAUGUUCGGCACAGUGUGGGGCCUCCCGAAAACGGUGCUGAUCAUAUGGAGUUUGUGGAACAUCUCCUAUGUGUACUACCGGGACUCUACUAUCCUCCGUGAUCACAAUUUCACUGGGGGCCAGUCGCCUAGAAGAUCUCACGGGGUGUCCAAUCUUUUGGCUUCCCUGGGCCACAUUGGAAGAAGACGAAUUGUCUUGCACCACAUAUAAAAUACACUAACACUAACGAUAGCUGAUGAGCUAAAAAAGAAAAUUGCAAAAAUAUCUCAAUGCUUUAAGAAAGUUUACAAAUUUGUGUUGGGCUGCAUUCAAAGCCAUCUUAGGCCACAUGUGGCCCGUGGGCCAUGGGUUGGACAAGCUUGAAGAUAGCCAUGAGACUACUGAUGACAAGAAUAAAGGUGGUUUAUUGAAUCCGUACUGUGUACUAGACUCUUCACAUGCAGAGCCUCAUUUAAUGCUCGUAACAAUCUCUUGAGGCUGAGACAAGCAUAUCCCCCAUCUUACAGAGGAAGAAGCCCACUCAGAGAAGCUAAGGAACUAACCCAAGAUCACACAACUAGAGUAGGGAUUCAAACCCAGACAAUGUGGAACCACAGACCACAACUUACCCACCAGCUGUUGAUGAAGAAUUUCAGACCAAAAGACUAUAGAGAGAGAAAAAAACUCCUGCUCCAAAUGAGAGAAGAGAAAGAGUGUUGACGGUAAAAUAUCAGUGAGACGCUGUGAUUUGUGCCUUUUGUCUUUUUCUAUCUGGCUCCCCUAGCAACAGUUAAGUAGUAAUGAAUGUAAAUGCUCAGUAACACGCCGGCGAGACUGUUCCACCAGGCGCAGCAUCCCUGGUAAACAGAAAUGCAUGCUAAUUUCUGCUCCGUGAAGCAUAGGAAACAUCACUAGGGGCUGCCCAGUGGAAAGGAACAAAAAGCAGAUGGAAAAAAUGUUUAAAUCUCAAGUUUAUGUGAGAACAGAAAAGAAGGAACAUGUUGUAAAUUAUUUUUUGAAAUAUUAAGCUACUAACAAAAUCCUAACACCAAGACAGACAACAGGGGUGGUAAAAGGGGAAGGAGAGACGGAGUCACAAUGGAGACGGUUUUGCUACAGCACAUCAUUAACCGCCACGUUUUUCUGCAGUAUCUGAAAAUAUCAGUCUUGGAAAUACCUAUGCAUUAUUUUUUCAGAGGUGUGUGUCUAUGGCCUCGGGGCUGGAGCUGGAAAACAAGCUAUUGCCAUGAGCUCAUGCUGGAGUCUGUGUAAAUUGUUUCCUCUCCUUAUGUAUAAUGUUUCUAAUUAGGACUGUUACAGAGGAUGAGCUCUGUGGGCUGUUGAAUUGACUCUUUGUGCUCACUGCAAAUCUAGGGCUUUAUGCCUGCCCAUGCUUGGGCCGACCUGCUUCUUAGAGGCAUCGCUAAAUGGGGAAGGUGACCCUGUCCUGCUUCCUGAUGUCUGAUAUCAGGGCUGUUGGGGAAACACCCAAGAGAUCUGCUGUCACCCCUGGAGUGAAUAGAUACAUGACUCUGGUUUCUAGAUGCAUAACUCUUGUUUCUAGUUGGCCCUUUUAUCCAAUUAUACCUUUAAUAAACAAAAGUCCAUUUUGAGGUCCUUUCUCUAAGAGACAACUAUUUACCUAAAAGUUGUAGGGUGAGCAGUAGACACUAGUUCCUCCCUCUGCAUCAAGAAUUUAAGAAAUGGGCUGGGCACAGUGGCUCACACCUGUAAUCCCAGCACUUUGGGAGGCCAAGGUGGGUGGAUCUCUUGAGAUCAGGAGUUUGAGACCAGCCUGGCCAACAUAGUGAAACCCCGUCUCUACUAAAAAUACAGAAAUUAUCUGAGUGUUGUGGUACAUGCCUGUAAUCCCAGCUACCCGGGAGGCUGAGGCAGGAGAAUCAUUUGAACCCGGAAGGCGGAGGUUGCAGUGAGCCAAGAUUGUGCCACUGCACUCUAGCCUCAGUGAUGGAGCGAGACGCCAUCUCAAAAUAAAUAAAUAAAUAAAUAAAUUUUAAAAGAAUUUUGGAAAUGUUUAGGGAAAGUGGAGUAGGACUCUGCUUCCCCAAGAUGCUGAGGCUUUGCAGAGAGGAUGUGACCCAGAGGGUAUGAGUCUCCCCGGCUUGGACCCACUCCUGCUCCCGACCUCUGACAUGUUUCUAGGUCAGACACACUUAGAAAAUUAAUCCUCAGCCAUCUGAGUAGCUGAUUGUCAGCAGGCAAUUCCCUUCCACCGGUAAAACUUCAGUCAGCUACGCUGGGCGAUGCAUAGAAAUACAGUAUUGGCUUGGCUUAGAGGUCUCCAGACACUUGGUCCCAGAGGACCAAGUAAAGGUUGCUUGUUAAUCUAGUACGACAUUCCCACUGUGGGACCUGUUAGGCUCCACACUGAAGAGGUGCCAGGAAUUCAAGGAGAGUGGAGGCUGGUGCUGAAAAGCUUCCCCCAGUGAUUCUGAUAUGCUCAGAGGGGGUGAUGGUGGUGGUCUUGGGCAGGCUUCCCAUUGUGUCAGGCCCAUGGUCACUAAUUCUUGUCCAGACCUGCAGAGCCAGAAUAGCCCAGCCCACAGAGCAGAAGCCACAGUGUAAGAAGCCCGACCUGGGCCAGAAAGCCUGACGAUGUCAGAAAAAAAUCCCCAUCAGUGUGAUGCCAUGGAAACCCUAGACAGCAGGCAGAUCUUUCUUCCUACGAGCCCAUUGGCACCUCCCUGGGAACUGGGAGCUGAGUAGGGAGGUAAAUCCCAGAAGCCAACAGAACACAGGUUUCAUGGAGAGCCUGGAUGCAAACCAGCAGUAGAGGACUGCUGCUCGGCACUGCGGAGGUGCUCAUGCCUUGCACCUGGUGGUUUGCCAAUGGACAAUUUCUCCAUGACCUAGUUUUCUACCUGGUCUGAAAUGAGAAAAAAUAAGUACAGCAUAGCAAGUUUUUCAUUAAGCUAAAUUUGUUCUAUUUAAAGAACUGCCAUUUGUUCUGGAACUAUGUCCUUUCUACUUUUUUUGGUGGAAGAAAAGUACUUUUAAGAAACAGAUGUGACAAUGUGGUAGUGGAUGACAACAUUUUUUGGUGUUGCUUUUUAAUAUUUCUAUUUUUCAAAAUAAAACCUGGCAACACUGUGUUAGUCCUCUGUUUUGUUUGUUUGCAUGCUUGCUUUUGCUUCUGUGUGUGGCGGAUUAGGGAUGGACACAAACUCUUUGGAACUUUUCAUACUGAAAGGUGCACCUAAUUUGCCUUCUCUUAAAUCUGGGCUGGCCUUAGUGACUUACUUGACUAAUAAAAUGUGGUGCGCAUGACCGCAUAGGUCUUCUGAAACUAGAUCACGGGAAACCCUGCAGCUUCCUUUCCAGGCCUCUUGGAACACUUAC
rnacentral:lncRNA from 10 species